rnacentral:misc_RNA from 1 species
AAAGUAUGACCUAAUAUCAGAUAGAUUUGGUUUGUUUGCCAAGCUUAUGUUUGGUUGUCUGAGAUCAUUAGGGUCUUUGACAUUACAUCAUAUGGGCGUAUAGCUCAGCCGGUUAGAGUGCACCCCUGAUAAGGGUGAGGUCCCAGGUUCAAGUCCUGGUAUGCCCACCAUAUGUUUAAUGGAAGUAUUUUUUCAAAUAUUUCUAUUAGACAUAUCGUCUAAAUGUUAUUUAACUUAUUAUUGUUAAGAGUCUAACGUAAUGCUGCGAAGUGGAGAUACCAAUAUCAAAACUUUACAAAUUACAAUGUAACAGAAAAUUAUCAGCAAUGAUAAUCUUUCAUGUGCAAUAACUCAUCAGAAGAUAGAGAUAUCUUCAAGCUUAUUAUUAUUAAAGAAAGAUGAAUCAUAGUAAUAUGACUCAAUUGCAUUUAAUACGGUAGUACCUUAGAAUUGAAUAAAUGAAUCUAAGGGCAGAUGGUGGAUGCCUAGACCAGGAGAGGCGAUGAAGGACGUACUAGGCUGCGAUAAGCCACGGGGAGCUGCCAAGAAGCUUUGAUCCGUGGAUUUCCGAAUGGGACAACCCGGCAUGUAGUGAUGCAUGUCACCCUUAGGGGGGGCGAACGUAGGGAAGUGAAACAUCUCAGUACCUAUAG